GGUUCUAUAGUAUAGUGGUCAUCAUGUCUGCUAUACACCUAGGGUGUCCUAGGUUUGACCCCCAGUCGAACCA